GACGACGAUGCGUAGGGGUUCUGAGAGGAAGGUCCCCCACACUGGUACUGAGACACGGACCAGACUCCUACGGGAGGCAGCAGUGAGGAAUAUUGGUCAAUGGGCGGGAGCCUGAACCGGCCAAGUCGCGUGAGGGAUGACGGCCCUAUGGGUUGUAAACCUCUUUUGCCGGGGAGCAAAGUGCCGCACGUGUGCGGUUUGGAGAGUACCCGGAGAAAAAGCAUCGGCUAACUCCGUGCCAGCAGCCGCGGUAAUACGGAGGAUGCGAGCGUUAUCCGGAUUUAUUGGGUUUAAAGGGUGCGUAGGCGGACGCUUAAGUCAGCGGUAAAAUUGCGGGGCUCAACCUCGUCGAGCCGUUGAAACUGGGUGCCUUGAGUGGGCGAGAAGUACGCGGAAUGCGUGGUGUAGCGGUGAAAUGCAUAGAUAUCACGCAGAACUCCGAUUGCGAAGGCAGCGUACCGGCGCCCAACUGACGCUGAAGCACGAAGGCGUGGGUAUCGAACAGGAUUAGAUACCCUGGUAGUCCACGCAGUAAACGAUGAAUGCUAGUUGUCCGGGGCGAUUGAGUUCU
rnacentral:rRNA from 1 species